CCUGGCCCUAGAGACACUGCAGGUGUGGCUGCUGUGUCACACAUAUGUCACUAGGUGGCAGAGAGGAAAGAAGCUAUGACUACACUCAUUGUUCUGAUCUAUGAACAUCUGAGUGAUUACUGUACAAACAUU